rnacentral:rRNA from 1 species
CCUACGGGAGGCAGCAGUGGGGAAUAUUGCACAAUGGGGGAAACCCUGAUGCAGCGACGCCGCGUGAGCGAGGAAGUAUUUCGGUAUGUAAAGCUCUAUCAGCAGGGACGAAAAAAGACGGUACCGGACUAAGAAGCCCCGGCUAACUACGUGCCAGCAGCCGCGGUAAUACGGAGGGGGCAAGCGUUAUCCGGAUUUACUGGGUGUAAAGGGAGCGUAGCCGGCAAGGAAAGGCAGAAGUGAAAGGGCAGGGCUCACCCCUGUACAUGCUUUUGGAACUGUGGUGCUAGCUUGCAGGCGAUGUAAGUGGCAUUCCUAGUGUAGCGGUGACAUGCGUUGAUAUUAGGCGGACCACCAGUGGCGACGGCGGCUUACUGGACUGUACCUGACGUUGAGGCUCGAAAGCGUG